rnacentral:rRNA from 1 species
AGCGAACGCUGGCGGCAGGCCUAACACAUGCAAGUCGAACGGAUCCUUCGGGGUUAGUGGCGGACGGGUGAGUAACACGUGGGAACGUGCCCUUUGGUUCGGAACAACUCAGGGAAACUUGAGCUAAUACCGGAUGUGCCCUUCGGGGGAAAGAUUUAUCGCCAUUGGAGCGGCCCGCGUCUGAUUAGCUAGUUGGUGAGGUAAAGGCUCACCAAGGAUACGAUCAGUAGCUGGUCUGAGAGGAUGAUCAGCCACAUUGAGACUGAGACACGGCCCAAACUCCUACGGGAGGCAGCGGUGGGGAAUCUUGCGCAAUGGGCGAAAGCCUGACGCAGCCAUGCCGCGUGAAUGAUGAAGGUCUUAGGAGUGUAAAAUUCUUUCACCGGGGACGAUAAUGACGGGACCCGGAGAAGAAGCCCCGGCUAACUUCGUGCCAGCCGCCGCGGUAAAAC